rnacentral:misc_RNA from 1 species
AAAAUGCGAUAAGUAAUGCGAAUUGCAGAAUUCAGUGAAUCAUCGAAUCUUUGAACGCACAUUGCGCCCGCCAGUAUUCUGGCGGGCAUGCCUGUUCGAGCGUCAUUUCAACCCUCAAGCCCCCGGGUUUGGUGUUGGGGAUCGGGCUGCGGUUCUACCGCGUCCCGGCCCCGAAAUCUAGUGGCGGUCUCGCUGCAGCCUCCAUUGCGUAGUAGCUAACACCUCGCAACUGGAACGCGGCGCGGCCAAGCCGUUAAACCCCCAACUUCUGAAUGUUGACCUCGGAUCAGGUAGGAAUACCCGCUGAACUUAAGC